rnacentral:rRNA from 1 species
UGUUGGUGGAGCCGUUGUUGAAAUACCACCCUUUGUUUACUUAGAGCCUAACUCGGAAACGAGGACAUUGCGUGGUGGGUAGUUUGACUGGGGCGGUCUCCUCCUAAAGAGUAACGGAGGAGUACGAAGGUGCGCUCAGCGUGGUCGGAAAUCACGCGUAGAGUAUAAAGGCAAAAGCGCGCUUAACUGCGAGACCCACAAGUCGAGCAGGUACGAAAGUAGGUCUUAGUGAUCCGGUGGUUCUGUAUGGAAGGGCCAUCGCUCAACGGAUAAAAGGUACUCUGGGGAUAACAGGCUG